GAUGAACGCUGGCGGCGUGCCUAAUACAUGCAAGUCGAGCGGAAAGGCCUCUUCGGAGGUACUCGAGCGGCGGACGGCAGAGUAACGCGUAGGAGCAUACCCCAAACUGAGGGAUAACUGCCCGAAAGGGUGGCUAAUACCGCAUGUGAUCUUCGGAUUAAAGCUUCGGCGGUUUGGGAAUGGCCUGCGUUCGAUUAGCUAGUUGGUGAGGUAAAGGCUCACCAAGGCGACGAUCGAUAACUGGUCUGAGAGGAUGAUCAGUCUGACUGGAACUGAGACACGGUCCAGACUCCUACGGGAGGCAGCAGUAGGGAAUUUUCCACAAUGGGCGAAAGCCUGAUGGAGCAACGCCGCGUGCAGGAUGAAGGCCCUUGGGUCGUAAACUGCUUUUAUGUGAGAAGAAUAUGACGGUAACACAUGAAUAAGGGUCGGCUAACUACGUGCCAGCAGCCGCGGU
rnacentral:rRNA from 1 species